UGAACUAGACUUUGACCUAAGAUUUUCAAGCAGUCAGUUCAUAAUAUUUGCUCGCAAGCCAUUAAAUAAGAAUGUACUGUAGACUUGAGGAUGUAUCUAAAUGGUAUACUGGAUCACUGAACAUGGGAAUACAUUUUUGAAGGUUGUGUUAUUAGGAUUUAAGGUGUGUGACAUCCCAGUAAAGAGUGUAUAAACCUGUCCAAGUUUUUCCACCAAGAGGCUUUUCCCCUAUGCCAUCCUCCACAUUGUCUGGUAUGUCUUGUCCCAGUAGGAAAUCCAUCUACAUGCAAAGAGUGGAGUAUGCCGAAUCAAUCAGCAGACAGCCAGACAACUUUCAGCACAGAGUGGAGGUAAGAGGAAAUUCAUGAGGAAACUUUAAAAAGUUUAAGAGUUUGUGAAUGGCUACACUUACCAGUUGAAAUAAAAAAGGAUGGUCAGUAAUGUGGUGCAAAAACCAGCUGCUACUGUAUUUCGCCCAGAUUUGACAAGAUGUGUUGUUACUUCAUAUUGCCUUUGCAUCCCUGUGGAAAGGUUAUGUUGUGUUUUGGGUGCUGGUCCUCCAGCAUGGGAUGCUGGUGUGUUUGUCCCCAGCAGGUUUUGAAUCUAGCUUAACCAGCUUCAUCAGAAAGACCAUGCUGGUCGACCAGCUUCAACAGCUAGGUUUUGCUGGCGAAAAAGCAUGGCCAGCACCAAACCAGCAUAAACAAGACUAACACGGGAAUUGCAUGCUGGUUCAACUGGUCUUUGUAGCAGGGAUGGAAGUACAGCAGAAUAUGGUAUGUUACAGAAAGCAAGACAACAUCUAAAGUUUAUCUACCAUGGUAAUAUGUAUAUAUAUCAUCCCGACCAGCCAAUAUCAUGGCUGGUCAUGAUGUUCAUACAAAAAGUAGUGUUUUGAUAGCACCAAUGUAUUAACACUUUUCUGCAGAAUCAACUGACUGAUGGCUUACAUACAGCUGUCUCAGCAUAUUGAGCUGGGAAGUAAUUAAACCUAAAAAAAAAAAAAAAAAAAGUGACACUUCACCUUUAAAUAUAUAAAAAGCUUAACCUUUUUGUUAAAGAAGAAAAUGUUUAAUUGACAUAUUGUGAUGACGGAACAGGAAACACUUAAAACAAUUCUGUGUACUUACUGCACAAAUAACUUUGUUUUCAAUUCCAAAGAGCAUGCUUAAUAUGUGAAAAAAUAUUAAUCCUUCCAGUGAAUUCUUACUGUUUCCUGGAAUUGUAGGAGGUUUUGGAGUCUAUGAAUCUGUGUAGCAUCAAGAAGAUGAAAGCUGUGCUGAACAGCUGUGUGCAUGACUCCUCAUUAUCAUGGUCCAGGAUUUUAGCCAAAGAAUUCCACAGGCCUUUCUGUUCCAGUGCGAGGAGGGAGGGAUAAGAAGCAGACUCUAUUGUUUAUUCACAAAUAUUACUUAUGAAUAUUGAGAUAUGUUUUGUAUUUCCGUCAAAAAUCUGAACAUAGAUCUACCACUGUGUUCUAAAUUUAUCCUAAUGUGGAAUGCUGUGGGAGUUCAAUUGCAUUCCACUCUGUGUUAGUAACCUAAAUAUUUUGUAAAGGCAUCUCUGCCGUUUUAAUUUACCAGGCUCUGGGGUGAUAAAUGAUCUGGACCAGGCAGUAGUGCAAGGUGGAGACUUCACCAAGGAACCACAAAUGGACAUCAGGAACCACCUGGAAAGCAUCAUUUUCCAGGGUUUUACAGGGAGUAUCAAAAGACCAGCUCACUAAUGGCAUCAAUCCCUCUUCCCCCAGAGCAGCUCCUUCCACAGUUCAACAGUUAUGAAGACUAUGAGGACAAAUGGCCUUCACCCACUAUGCCAGCUUCUAGAGAUGAGCAAUACAGCCCAAUGAGCUUUGAGUGGGAGCAGAUCCACCACCUUACACUAACAUGGAAAGAAAUGUGGAAAUCUUUAACCAUGUAGCUGUCGACAUUGAGAUCUUCACAGAAAAAGUUGUCACCACUUUGCAAGGCGAUGAUGGAAACAAGAAAAAGGAAAAAAUGCACGAAAACAAGGAGAAGAUUUUGAAAUGCUACUGAUACAUUACUGCUGUACAUUUGAUCAAAACGACAAAUAAGAUCUGUGCACUGAUUGCUGUGACAUCUUAACAUUUCAAAUGUUUUUUUUUAUUUUUUUUAUAACAGUUGUAAAUCUUCCUUCCAUGGAGGAGUACAUGUCCUGUCUGCAGAAAAUAAAGUGUGGAGUCUUGGGAAAUUAGAUGGUCGCCUUAAAAGACCUCCUGCUCCGGAGUUUGUUCACAGUCUCUUCUCUUGGGUUUGUGAUGGGUCAGUAUCCACACAACAUCCCUUCCACGGUGCUGAUUCCCAUGCUCACAGAAAAAGCCCUGAAGCUCCUGGGAACUUUGGUCACACCAGAGGAGGAUUGACUCUGGGGCUGUUUUGGAGAAUCCUGGAAUGUCCCUAGAUCCCUCCAUAUUAUCCUGUAUUUUACGAUGGGUGGUAGCCCCCUCCACCUGUCCCUACCCAGUCACCCCCCUCAAGCAGGCAGCCAUCACGGAGCAACAGUGAGCGGUUCCCACCCAGGAAUGUCAUGCAGAGGCCACCUGAACAGGUCAAAUCAGAGAGCAAACUUCAACUGAAGCUAAGCAUUCACAACUUGCCAGCGAGGAAGAAUACAACCAAUAUGGUGCCCACUGAUAAUCUGAGCAGGCUCGAUUUUUCUUGGCGUGAACCUGAACAUGUCUGGACCUGAAUAAACAAGAGUUAUGCGGAGAACUUGACAACAUUUCCAUUCUUUAUCAAACAAGACAUGCCGUAUGCCUAACUGCUCAAGUCUAACCAGUUAUGUAAUAUGGACUGCUGGAUGUCUAUGACACGGAGUCAGAAUAAAAAUUUAAUAUUUAUUUUGAUCUACUUUCUUCGAAGGCUGAGGAAAGCACAUCUCCCAACCCCCAUCCUCACUACAUUCUAUAGAGGGACUAUUGAGAGCAUCCUGAGCAGCUGCAUCACUGCCUGGUUUGGAACUUGCCCAGUUUCGGACCGCAAAGCCCUGCAGAGGAUAGUGAGGACAGCUGAGAAGAUCAUUGGGGUCUCUCUUCCCUCCAUCAAAGACAUUUACAAAAACACUGUAUCCGCAAAGCAACCAGCAUUGUGGACGACCCCACACACCCCUCACACAAACUCUUUACCCUCCUCCCGUCUGGCAAGAGGUAACGAAGCAUUCGGGCCCUCACGGCCAGACUGUGUAACAGCUUCUUCCCCCAAGCCAUCAGACUCCUCAAUACUGGUUUGACACACGCACACGCCCUGAGUUGCACUUUAAUUACUGUCACUUUAUAACUGUCUGCUACCCCAAUAAUUGUUAUGUGCAUAGAACACUAUCUCAUAGUAUGUUAUGUUUACAUUUUUAGAAACUGUCAUCUUUUGCACUACUGUGUACUGGUCGGCGCUGCACUUUGUCUAUUGUCCUGUUCAUUGUCAGAAAUUUGUUGUACUGUCCCGUACUUUUUGCACGUGCACUUUAUAUAGGUGUAUAUAUAUAUAUAUAUAUAUAUAAGGUAUUUUCUUUCGUUGUGUAGUCUCAUGUGGUCCUGUGUUGGUCCUUUGUUGUUUUUAUGUAGCACCAUGGUCCAGGAGGAACGUUGUCUCGUUUUGCUGUGUACUGUAUAUGGUUGA